rnacentral:tRNA from 4 species
GCCGCUGUAGCUCAGUUGGUAGAGCACCGCAUUCGUAAUGCGUAGGUCGGGUGUUCGAGUCACCCCAGCGGCACCA